CGCUGGCGGCGUGCUUAACACAUGCAAGUCGAACGGAAAGGCCCUGCUUUUGUGGGGUGCUCGAGUGGCGAACGGGUGAGUAACACGUGAGUAACCUGCCCUUGACUUUGGGAUAACUUCAGGAAACUGGGGCUAAUACCGGAUAGGAGCUCCUGCUGCAUGGUGGGGGUUGGAAAGUUUCGGCGGUUGGGGAUGGACUCGCGGCUUAUCAGCUUGUUGGUGGGGUAGUGGCUUACCAAGGCUUUGACGGGUAGCCGGCCUGAGAGGGUGACCGGCCACAUUGGGACUGAGAUACGGCCCAGACUCCUACGGGAGGCAGCAGUGGGGAAUAUUGCACAAUGGGCGGAAGCCUGAUGCAGCAACGCCGCGUGCGGGAUGACGGCCUUCGGGUUGUAAACCGCUUUCGCCUGUGACGAAGCGUGAGUGACGGUAAUGGGUAAAGAAGCACCGGCUAACUACGUGCCAGCAGCCGCGGUGAUACGUAGGGUGCGAGCGUUGUCCGGAUUUAUUGGGCGUAAAGGGCUCGUAGGUGGUUGAUCGCGUCGGAAGUGUAAUCUUGGGGCUUAACCCUGAGCGUGCUUUCGAUACGGGUUGACUUGAGGAAGGUAGGGGAGAAUGGAAUUCCUGGUGGAGCGGUGGAAUGCGCAGAUAUCAGGAGGAACACCAGUGGCGAAGGCGGUUCUCUGGGCCUUUCCUGACGCUGAGGAGCGAAAGCGUGGGGAGCGAACAGGCUUAGAUACCCUGGUAGUCCACGCUGUAAACGGUGGGUACUAGGUGUGGGGUCCAUUCCACGGGUUCCGUGCCGUAGCUAACGCUUUAAGUACCCCGCCUGGGGAGUACGGCCGCAAGGCUAAAACUCAAAGGAAUUGACGGGGCCCCGCACAAGCGGCGGAGCAUGCGGAUUAAUUCGAUGCAACGCGUAGAACCUUACCUGGGUUUGACAUGGAUCGGGAGUGCUCAGAGAUGGGUGUGCCUCUUUUGGGGUCGGUUCACAGGUGGUGCAUGGCUGUCGUCAGCUCGUGUCGUGAGAUGUUGGGUUAAGUCCCGCAACGAGCGCAACCCUUGUUCACUGUUGCCAGCACGUUAUGGUGGGGACUCAGUGGAGACCGCCGGGGUCAACUCGGAGGAAGGUGGGGAUGACGUCAAGUCAUCAUGCCCCUUAUGUCCAGGGCUUCACGCAUGCUACAAUGGCUGGUACAGAGAGUGGCGAGCCUGUGAGGGUGAGCGAAUCUCGGAAAGCCGGUCUCAGUUCGGAUUGGGGUCUGCAACUCGACCUCAUGAAGUCGGAGUCGCUAGUAAUCGCAGAUCAGCAACGCUGCGGUGAAUACGUUCCCGGGGCUUGUACACACCGCCCGUCAAGUCAUGAAAGUUGGUAACACCCGAAGCCGGUGGCCUAACCGAUGUGGGGGAGCCGUCGAAGGUGGGACUGGUGAUUA
rnacentral:rRNA from 1 species